rnacentral:rRNA from 1 species
GACGAACGCUGGCGGCGUGCUUAACACAUGCAAGUCGAACGAAGAGCGAUGGAAGCUUGCUUCUAUCAAUCUUAGUGGCGAACGGGUGAGUAACGCGUAAUCAACCUGCCCUUCAGAGGGGGACAACAGUUGGAAACGACUGCUAAUACCGCAUACGAUCUAAUCUCGGCAUCGAGGAUAGAUGAAAGGUGGCCUCUACAUGUAAGCUAUCACUGAAGGCGGGGAUUGCGUCUGAUUAGCUAGUUGGAGGGGUAACGGCCCACCAAGGCGAUGAUCAGUAGCCGGUCUGAGAGGAUGAACGGCCACAGUGGGACUGAGACACGGCCCAGACUCCUACGGGAGGCAGCAGUGGGGAAUCUUCCGAAAUGGACGAAAGUCUGACGGAGCAACGCCGCGUGAGUGAUGACGGCCUUCGGGUUGUAAAGCUCUGUUAAUCGGGACGAAAGGCCUUCUUGCGAAUAGUGAGAAGGAUUGACGGUACCGGAAGAGAAAGCCACGGCUAACUACGUG